rnacentral:rRNA from 1 species
AACGAACGCUGGCGGCAUGCCUAACACAUGCAAGUCGAACGAGAACUUCGGGUCUAGUGUCGCCUGGCUGCAUAACGCGAGGGAAGCUGCACAUGUGUUCGGCAUACCUCCCCGAAAGGGGUGAUCUCACCGGACCGUAUCUUAUGCCCAAUGAUUUAUUGACUUUGGAGGGGCCCGCGUUGGAUUCGCUAGUUCUUAGGCUAAAAGACUACCAAGGCGAGAAUCAGUAGAUUGUCUGAGAGGAAGAUCAGCCACACUGGCACUAGGACACGGCCCAGACUCUUACGGGAGGCAGCAGUGGGUAAUAUUGGACAAUGGGCGAAAGCAUGAUCCAGCAAGGCCGGGUGAGUGAUGAAGGCCGUAGGGUUGUAAAGCGCUUUUACCCGGGAUGAUAAUGACAGUACCGGGAGAAUAAGCUCCGGCUAACUCCGUG